rnacentral:rRNA from 1 species
GACGAACGCUGGCGGCGUGCCUAAUACAUGCAAGUCGAACGCACGAAGUUGAAGAGCUUGCUCUUUAACCAAGUGAGUGGCGGACGGGUGAGUAACACGUGGGUAACCUGCCCAUUAGAGGGGGAUAACAUUCGGAAACGGAUGCUAAUACCGCAUAGUUUCAGGAAUCGCAUGAUUCUUGAAGGAAAGGUGGCUUCAGCUACCACUAAUGGAUGGACCCGCGGCGUAUUAGCUAGUUGGUGAGGUAAUGGCUCACCAAGGCAAUGAUACGUAGCCGACCUGAGAGGGUGAUCGGCCACACUGGGACUGAGACACGGCCCAGGCUCCUACGGGAGGCAGCAGUAGGGAAUCUUCCGCAAUGGACGAAAGUCUGACGGAGCAACGCCGCGUGAGUGAAGAAGGUUUUCGGAUCGUAAAACUCUGUUGUUAAAGAAGAACAAGGAUGAGAGUAACUGCUCAUCCCCUGACGGUAUUUAACCAGAAAGCCACGGCUAACUACGUGCCAGCAGCCGCGGUAAUACGUAGGUGGCAAGCGUUGUCCGGAUUUAUUGGGCGUAAAGCGAGCGCAGGCGGUUCUUUAAGUCUGAUGUGAAAGCCCCCGGCUCAACCGGGGAGGGUCAUUGGAAACUGGAGAACUUGAGUGCAGAAGAGGAGAGUGGAAUUCCACGUGUAGCGGUGAAAUGCGUAGAUAUGUGGAGGAACACCAGUGGCGAAGGCGACUCUCUGGUCUGUAACUGACGCUGAGGCUCGAAAGCGUGGGGAGCAAACAGG